CAGGGCGAAUGUCUUGUAAUUGGAAUGAUGGUGACCCAAACCCUCACCAGAGUAGCAAUUGGAGGGCAAGUCUGGUGCCAGCAGCCGCGGUAAUUCCAGCUCCAAUAGCGUAUAUUAAACUUGUUGCAGUUAAAAAGCUCGUAGUUGUAUUUUUGCGUUGACGGUUUGACCAUUUGGUUGGUUAUUUCGUUUUCGCUUUUGGGAAUUUCCCUUUUUACUUUGAGAAAAUUAGAGUGUUUCAAGCAGACUUUUGUCUUGAAUACUUCAGCAUGGAAUGAUAGAGUAGGACUUUGGUUCUAUUUUGUUGGUUAUUGAACCUUAGUAAUGGUUAAUAGGAACGGUUGGGGGCAUUCGUAUUUAACUGUCAGAGGUGAAAUUCUUAGAUUUGUUAAAGACGAACUACUGCGAAAGCAUUUGCCAAGGACGUUUCCAUUAAUCAAGAACGAAAGUUAGGGGAUCGAAGAA
rnacentral:rRNA from 1 species